rfam:Bacillus sp. FJAT-27997 Scaffold1, whole genome shotgun sequence.
GGUACCUUUAAUUCAGUCCCGUGAGGCUGACAAGGACAGCGGAAAUAAUGAACAUUGCUUUGGUAGCCUGUGUAUAUAGGAUACCUAUGUUCAUUGUGUAAAAAAGCUUCUUGUCAGAAAUGGCAAGAAGCUUUUUUUAU